rnacentral:rRNA from 1 species
CUACGGGUCGCAGCAGUGGGGAAUAUUGCACAAUGGAGGAAACUCUGAUGCAGCAACGCCGCGUGGAGGAUGACACUUUUCGGAGCGUAAACUCCUUUUAUAUAGGAAGAAGAUGACGGUACUAUAUGAAUAAGCGCCGGCUAACUCCGUGCCAGCAGCCGCGGUAAUACGGAGGGCGCAAGCGUUACUCGGAAUCACUGGGCGUAAAGAGCGUGUAGGUGGAUUAAGAAGUCAGAAGUGAAAUCCUAUAGCUUAACUAUAGAACUGCUUCUGAAACUCUUAAUCUAGAAUAUGGGAGAGGUAGAUGGAAUUUCUGGUGUAGGGGUAAAAUCCGUAGAGAUCAGAAGGAAUACCGAUUGCGAAGGCGAUCUACUAGAACAUUAUUGACGCUGAGACGCGAAAGCGUGGGGAGCAAACAGGAUUAGAUACCCUCGUAGUC